UACGUAGGGAGCGAGCGUUGUCCGGAUUUACUGGGUGUAAAGGGUGCGUAGGCGGCUUGGCAAGUCAGUAGUGAAAUCCAUGGGCUUAACCCAUGAACUGCUAUUGAAACUGUCGAGCUUGAGUGAAGUAGAGGUAAGCGGAAUUCCUAGUGUAGCGGUGAAAUGCGUAGAUAUUAGGAGGAACACCAGUGGCGAAGGCGGCUUACUGGACUGUAACUGACGUUGAGGCUCGAAAGCGUGGGGAGCAAACAGG
rnacentral:rRNA from 1 species